rnacentral:snRNA from 2 species
GUCCCUUCGGGGACAUCCGAUAAAAUUGGAACGAUACAGAGAAGAUUAGCAUGGCCCCUGCACAAGGAUGACACGCACAAAUCGAGAGAUAUUGUGGUUUCAU